GCAGGGAUGACCCCUUUGAGGCAUUUGGCCUGACCGUUCCGCAUGAUUUCACCCGAAGCGGCUGAGC
rnacentral:snoRNA from 1 species